CUUCCUUUUCACGAACCAUUACAUUUGACUAGUGGCGUUUCUUCUCAGCAGCGUGGAGUUACUGAAGCUGUUGUUUCCAAAAUCGUUCGCUUUCCAAAUAAUGGUCUUUAUAGCAAUAUGACUGGGACUGACCUUCAUACUGAAGAUGAAUUUAUACAUACUGGAGCUAAACAUAAAAGGACUAUACCCAAAAGGACAUGUGCACGCAGUUUAUAGCAGGUACAUAUACUACUGAGGAAUGAUGGGUCCACUGUGCCAUAGUCAAGCCUUUAUACAUCUGUGUCACUGGAACUGAUAAACACAGAAACUGCCAGAAGCAAGAUGAGGAAUACAGAAUAAGAAGUGGGAAAGAGAAUGUGCAUCAUGGAAGGUGUAAUCACUACUGGUGAGUUCAUCCUCAGAAGAACAAAUCAUCUGACUGCCAAGUGGACCAAAACACACAAAAAAAUUGUAAUGUACUUAUUGUGGCAUUUACAGAGAAUGUGAAGUGCAGGUUCCUUUUCUUGUCGGGAUAGGUAGUAAAAAGAAUGGACUUUUUCUUGCAGUGCAUAAACGCAGAUAUGUGUUUUAAUAAAGAUGGACUUUCUAAUUCAUUGCUGGAGCUUUCUAUGAAUGUGCUAUCCAGUUUGUCUGAUAGUGUAACUGCAGGAAAGGCAGAGUGAACAGUCCGAGGCAUCUGCUUUUAGGAAGAAACAAGUAGAACCUGAUCACGGUGAAAUAUUGCCCAAGGAAGGAUAAUGGGUGAUUAUGGAGUGCACUAGAUCUUGCAUAACACCAUGUCUGGAAUAGCAAGUGAUAAUGCAAUGCAAGCUUUACUGUUAUAAGUGAGAACACCAGUGCUAGCUUUAGGGUGUAAUAUGUGGGAAUGAAAGUUAACUGAAUAUAACAUUACUUGUCUAUCAAAAUGCCGAUGUAAAUCAACAGUGGAAUGGAAUAUCCUGGUUAUGAAGUGCAAAUCAUUCAGUACAUCAUGUUAACAUGUUUGUGUACCUUUUUAAACAUAGUACUGAAAUACAUCAGUUUAUAAUUUCCAGAAUAGGUGUCCAUUAAACAUGUCCAUACACCUACCACAUUAAACACAAUCAAACACAUUUAGAAUUGUCUUUAAAAUACCUACUAAAGUUAUACAAUGGGUGCAAAAUGUUCUAUUUUUCAUUUUUUAGCUGAAAACAAAAGCCUUAAAAAUCGCUACUUAACAACUGUUGCACUUUUGGUAGAGCUAGUGCUAUAUGUGCAGUGCAUUAUGAUAAUGCAAGGAAUGUGUUUUUCAUUUUAGUCUCAUCCUAGUGAUGUUUUUCUUCCCUUAUCAGUAAGAAUUUCUAUAAGAUGACCCUGAUUUUAUCUCAUAUUUUUGAUCUGUCCAUUAUAUUUUGACAUAUUUUAUGAAAAAUUGAGGGCUGCAGUCAGUAAUAGCAGACAUUAGGGCUUAAGCCUUUUUAUCCUUCAGAAAAUAUUAUUUUUGUUAUUAUCCAAAAAAUAUGACAACUUACUUCUGUUUCCAGUUCUUUCAAACCUUUUAGAUAGUGGUGUGAUUGUGCUCUAACAAUGCUACAACAUACAGCUGGAUGCCGAGCAGAGCCACAAUCUGCCAGAGUCUCGCCUCCGUUUCAUUUUCUAGUUCAAAGUUUAUAAGAGUUUGAAAGAUUAUUUAAUGAUUUUUUAAGAACUGGUAGUACGGUUAUCUUUUUGAAUACUUUUCAGUACUUUUUAUGUAUGUAUAGAAAAUAUUUAUUAACAUUGACAAACUGUAGAUGUUUUGUUGACUGUAUAUUAUCUACUUAUUUAAGUUACCUAAGGUAUUCUAUUUAUGUAUCCACUUACACUUGACAUCAAUUAUAGGAGAGGAAGACUGAUUGCUGAGUCAAAACCUGUUUAGGUGUAUAUAGUAUAGUUAGGUUAGUAGGAUCGACCUUAGUACAACACAAACUGCAUAACACAGUAUUACAAAACAUAACAUAUGAUCUAACUGAGCGUGCAUAGUACAAAAUAAAAAUAAACUACAGUACUAGAUGACAAAUAAUGCACUCAUUGAAACAGUAUGUGGUUUAAGUUCGAUACCCAAUUUAGUAUUUCAAUAAAGACAGCAUUAACUUUAGGUUACGCUCAAAUGAGCGGUAAGGAAAUAUACCUUUAAACUUGUAGUGUUACAAUUGAACAGACCUGAUAGGUCUACACUACAUGAUGAGGGUAUUUAAGCUGUUAUUUGAAUAUAUUCUGAUUGUCUGAAGAAGUCUGGAUAAAAUCCGGACGAAAAGUGCUUAACACAAUAUACAAGAACUACUUAUUUGCCUGUCUUCGUGUUUUUAAGUACUUUUCAGUACUAUUUAUGUGUGGAACUUG